rnacentral:rRNA from 1 species
GUGGCAGCCGCCGCGGUAAAACCAGCACCUCAAGUGGUCAGGAUGAUUAUUGGGCCUAAAGCAUCCGUAGCCGGCUCUGUAAGUUUUCGGUUAAAUCUGUACGCUCAACGUACAGGCUGCCGGGAAUACUGCAGAGCUAGGGAGUGGGAGAGGUAGACGGUACUCUGGAGGAAGUGGUAAAAUACUUUGAUCUCUAGAUGACCACCUGUGGCGAAGGCGGUCUACCAGAACACGUCCGACGGUGAGGGAUGAAAGCUGGGGGAGCAAACCGGAUUAGAUACCCGGGUAGUCCCAGCUGUAAACUAUGCAAACUCGGUGAUGCAUUGGCUUGUGGCCAAUGCAGUGCUGCAGGGAAGCCGUUAAGUUUGCCGCCUGGGAAGUACGUACGCAAGUAUGAAACUUAAAGGAAUUGGCGGGGGAGCACCACAAGGGGUGAAGCCUGCGGUUCAAUUGGAGUCAACGCCAGAAAUCUUACCCGGAGAGACAGCAGAAUGAAGGUCAAGCUGAAGACUUUACCAGACAAGCUGAGAGGUGGUGCAUGGCCGUCGCCAGCUCGUGCCGUGAGAUGUCCUGUUAAGUCAGGUAACGAGCGAGAUCCCUGCCUCUAGUUGCCACCAUUACUCUCAGGAGUAGUGGGGCGAAUUAGCGGGACCGCCGCAGUUAAUGCGGAGGAAGGAAGGGGCCACGGCAGGUCAGUAUGCCCCGAAACUCUGGGGCCACACGCGGGCUGCAAUGGUAAUGACAAUGGGUUCCAAAUCCGAGAGGAGGAGGUAAUCCCCAAACAUUACCACAGUUAUGACUGAGGGCUGCAACUCGCCCUCACGAAUAUGGAAUCCCUAGUAACUGCGUGUCAUUAUCGCGCGGUGAAUACGUCCCUGCUCCUUGCACACACCGCCCGUC